AGCCUAAAAGUUCACAACGAAACACAAUAGGGAUGCCAAUUAACAAUAGAGACCUCACAAACUGAUAAGGAUGCCAAUUGACGAGUUGUGAAUGCAGAGAUAUGAACUAAAAAAAUUACUAUAACUGUUGCAGACAGCAAUUUGUCAAACUAUUGGGAACUUUAAGUCCUGGUUAUAUAUAAAAAUUCAUAGCAAAUGUGGUCGAGCAAAUUAUUAAUUUAUGAGCCAGAAAUGAAUAAAAAGAGAAUGGCUGAAAAGUAUAAGAAAGUUAAACAUACAAAAUGAUCGUGAUCUCUUAUCCCUGAUAAAGUAUUAACUGGUAUAUCAAAGUGAUCACAGUUAUUCAAACACGAGACUCUGAGAUGGGAAAGUUAAAUAAAAGAACCUGAUAACCAUUCCAUUCUGAAUUUUGAGAAGAAACUACUUGAGGUGGUGGAAUCAUCAGUGUCGAGUAAACCGGAUCCUCAUUCAAUGGCCUUGGUGCAGACCAUGGUGCCACUGUUGAUUGUGAUGCACCUUGUAAAGAUGCAGGACCACCAUUACCAUAUCCAGAUGGGGGAUCAGAUCCUCCUGUAGCUGUCGGAUCAGGGUGGUUAAACCUGCAGUUCGAUGCAUACUUGCAGGAGCCAUUUUGCAUAUAGUACGGACACUCCCUUUUACCCUGUAACAAUUAAAAAUAAAUAUUCGCAGUAACUGACAGAAACAUAAUAAAUAGGUCCAACAAACCAAGAAAAUAAGCAAAGAUAAAAUCUUAAAAAUCAUGAAUAGAUAUUCAUUUCUCAAAACUUAGCAAGUUAGAUAUAAAGUGUAUACCGGUCGAAUUGGCAGGCCCAGAAAGUUAAGCUCAAGCUUCCCUUUGCUGUGGCUGUAUCUGCAAUUUUCCCCAUGCUUACAUCCACCCGACCUCAAGUAAUACUGCAACAAGCUCAAGUGUUAUCUCAUCAUGAAACUGUUACUAGUCUGCCGUACACAUUGCAGAUAUUUGGAUAUAAGGCACAAAGAGAAGAAUUGUUACUGACAUCCGAAAGCAUAAUUGGAAUUACUGUAUAAAGGAAUACAAGAAUGUCAUGAAAAAAGCAUACAAUUUCAUGAAAACCCAUCCGGUGGAGAUUGUCUAACUACUCAUCAACUUGCUAUAAUUUAAUCAAACGGAUGAAAUGCCUCCCCAUACAACAUAAACAAAUAAAGUUCAAAAUCUCAGGAUUAUGCACUAGCCACAAGAUAAAAGUUUUUAGCUUUUUGUUUCGGUUAUGCAUGCCAACCUAAUUUUCAGAUAAGCGGACUCAGAAAACCCCACCAUCAUAACAAUGACCGCUAGGAUACCAAAUACAUAAACUAAAACAAAAUAUAACGAUUUGUGAGACGUUGAUCAAAUAACUGCACUAAAAACCAGAACUUCAAAUAUAAAAUUUCUGUGAAUCACAACAAUAAUAACCUUGCAUUCCGUCUGGCUUGGAUUCUCUGCCGACUCGUCCAUAUCCUUGACGCUUUCCUUGGGCACCUUCAAUAAGAACAAGUCAAAACACCAACAAAAAUGAAAGAUGAGGCCACGAAAACACGAAAAGUCUCAAUCUUUCUACCAUAAACAUACAUAUGCAGAUGCUAAGAGCAACUCCAGCCCCCAACACUCUAAGCUGGGCAACAGCCCAUUUUUUCCCCUCCCUCCCCAAAAACCCAGUCCACCCCAAUCAAUCCGCUGGGCUCCGGGGAAGGCCAGCAAGCUGCCCAGCAGAAAAUCGGCUGACUCAAUACCCGGCCUACUUGACGCCAUGCUCACGUCAUCGAUUUUUUAUUUUCUCCCGACGGAUUUCUCCCUCCCCUGCGACGACCAUCGGGAAACCUGGAGAAGGUUUGGCGAACCCAGCCUUCGAGGGAGGUCGAGCCUUCGCCGUCGCCGUCGAGAACCCAGCAUCCACAUCGUGCUGCUCGCCUCCACAUCCCCAAAUCCCAGCCUUCGAGGGGAAAAUUGUGGAAAUUCCAGGAACAAAGAAGAAGAAAUGGAUCGGAGGACUGCUCCUUGGAAGGGAUCGGGAAAAGGUGGGAGACUGGGAGAGUUUCCAGGAAGAACGAAGAAGAAGAAAGAAGAAAUAGGAAAAUAAAAAAUAAAAUUAACAAUAACAUAUUUUUAUUUUUAUUAAUUUUUAAUUAUCAAUUACCAGAACAAUUAUUUUACGAGGCAGAGAUAUACUCUAUUGAUUACUAUUUAUUACAGUCAAUUAUUCUUCAUUUGAGUAGAUUAAAUUUACUAUUGCCUAGCAAGAUUUUUAGGAUGGACUUGCUUUAAAAAGAAUAUGCGCAUUAAAUUGUCAAUAUAAUAAUUAAAAACAAAAUUAAAAUAAUAAAAUUAAGCAUGUUGUAACUAAUUUUUUUCCGUAUUUACGAAAAGAAUUAAUUUUAUUUGUUCAAAAAAAAGAGUUUAAAUUUUUUAAGAUGCCUCAUAUUAAUUAAAUUUCUGACUUGGUUGCUACGGAAAUGCUAAAUGCGGAACAAGAGAGAUUUACCUGCUUGUUUUUCCUUCUCCGAGGGUGAUUAUUCUUGCGAUUCGACCCGAACUUACAAUUGCCAGUCUUCAGAUCGUACCGACAGUCCCCACCUUCCGGCCUCAAUGGGUACUGAUUCCUUCUGCUACUCUCCCCAACAACCUCCUCCUCCACCCCACCGCCAUUCUCAUUCCCUCCUCCGCUGCCGCAGACGCUGCUGCUGCUUUCGCUCUUUUCCCUCUCUCUCUCCUUCUCAUUUUCCUUUUCCUUUUCAGUCUCUCUCUCCUUCUCCUCCUCUUCUGCUUUAUCCUCCUUUUCCUUCAAACUCAAUUUCCGAAUCCCAUCAACGAUGGAAGGAUCGAAGCUCCGAUCCUCAUCGAGGAAGGCGGGGUCGAAUUGCUGAAUCUCAUCGAGCACGGCGGGGCCGAGUGUCCCAAUCCAAUCAAGGAUUUCAACAACGGACGGCUCAGGAGACGGAACAGACGGGGGAUUUUGAGCAACGCCUACGCUUUCAGAAAAUUCCGAAGGGAUAGCAGGGUCCAAGUUCCGAAUCUCAUCAACGAUGGAAGGAUCGAAGUUGCGAAUCUCAACGGCGGGGUCGAAUUGCUGAAUCUCAUGGAGGAGGGCAGGGUCGCGAUUCCUAAUCCUAUUGAGCAAGGCGGGGUCGAGUGUGUCGAGUGUCCGAAUCCAAUGAAGGAUUUCAUGGUAGCGAUCGGAUGGCGCAGGAGACGGAACAGACGUCGGAUUUAGCGGAACUCCGACGCCUUCAGAAAAUUCCGAUUUCUGUCUGGAUUUAUAGUAAUUAUAAAUUGCGACCAGCACUGACAGUGACAACGGUAGGAGGAAACGCGCCGCUGACAACAUAGUUUUUGUGCUGAUGGCGGCGGCGGAUGCGGCGGCGACGGUAGCUGAAACUGGGUUGCUAGGUUUUGCUGUGAAUUUGCAACUAGCAACUACAUUAUGGAGGAAACAAACUCUCUCAUAUGAUAAAAAUAUAUUUUGACUGGCCAAGUCAAAGUCUGCUUUUUUCAGAGGCAUGUUUGGAUUGUUUUUAAAUUCCAAAGCUGCUUAUUUUCCAAAAAAAAACAUAAAACUGCUUUAGGAAAAGUGACUUAGAUGUGAAGACUAAUUAGCAACAUAGAGAGUAUCUCAAUCUCUUGCUAUCUAUCCUUCCAUCAAUGUGGGACUCAUUCUCAACAUACCCCUUCACGUGUGGUAAAUUUUCAAACCUAGCCCAAUCAUGUGAGACACAUUCUCAACAUGCCCUCCCAUGUGAUGAAUUUUCAAACCUAAUACGUGAAUAACACAACGGGAUGACGUGAAACGCGUGUGGCUAUUUGACUUCACAUGUGGGACAACAUGUUCUGAUACCAUGAAAAAAUCCCGGCACAGGUUUUAUCGACAAUGCACGUAACGUCGCCGCAAGUUCGAUACAUAACAGAAGAUCCCGGCACAGGUUCUAUCGAGCGAGAUCCACAACCGAACCAUUUGCGGUACUCGGGAUAGGCAGCGACAUCGAAAUUGAAAGGUUAUUCUCGGCUUCAGUGUUUUCCAGUAAUAUGACAUAGAUGAGAAAUAAUUUACAGGUUCCAUUUCCUUUAAAAUCUCACAACUAUAAAGUCUGUGUCGUCCGGUGAAGAGGUUUGAUACAUUUCUAAGAUUAAAUUACCAAAAGAGAAAGAUUACACAUGUUUGAGUGAUGCAAAUCCUGUGCUCUAGGCAAGCAUUUCAUGCAUAACUUACUGCACGGGCUGCGGCUGACUUGUAACAUCAGUUCCGUUUCUGCUCCCAGCCAUUCCUGCCCCGUUAGUAGUUGCCAAAUCACUGAAAGGAAGUUGAUGAUGAGGACCAGAUGUAGUUGAAGAUGAUAUAUGUAACGGGUGGUCAAAUUUACAAGCUGGCCCAAAUUUGCAAAGGCCAUAGCGACUGUAAUGUGUGCAAAUGCUCUGAUCCUGGAUUUUGAAACAAAUUGUGUGAUCAAUGGCGUGCAAUCAUGUAAUAUGCGAUCAAACUGUGGCUCUUAGAACAGAGGGAAGAGAACAAUUAGUUAAUAAUAUUUAUGAUUCGGGAACAAUUGUCCUCGCAUAGUAAUUCAUUUGUUUUAACUUCACGUAUCACAAAGUGAAAACCUUUCUAAGAUCAUAUUUCGAAAUUAUGAACUUGUUAUAAAUGGCAUAGGGUGAACUUACCGGUCUCAAAGGCAGGCCCUUGUCACUAAGUGCGAUUUGGGGGGCUACUGCAGUAUGAGUUUUUGGAUGGUGAUAUUUGCAAUUAGAUUUAAACUUGCAAUCCCCCGUUCUUAAGAAAUAACUGCAGAAGGGUUGGCCAGGUCUUUCUGGGAACUCUUCAACUUGAUUCUGGUGUGGAUAUUGCUUGUAGAUGUUGAUUUCAGCCAGAGAGUUGUUCAUCAUGUAUGGCGGACGUGCAGGCAUGAUUCUUUCUGGUACAUAUGCUGACGCCUAAAAGUUCACAACGAAAAACAAUAGGGAUACCAAUUAACAAAAAGGGACCUCACAAACUGAUAGAUGGCAAUUAAUGACUUGUGACCGCAGAGAUGAACUAAAUAAAUUACUACAAAUGUUGCAGACAGCAAUUUGUCAAACUAUUGGGAACUUUGAGUCCUGGUUAAAGAACAAAAUUCAUGGCAUAUUUGCACGACCAAAUUAUUAAUUUUACGAGCCAAAAAUGAAUAAAAAGAGCACGGCCAGAAAAGUAUAAGAAAGUUAAACAUACAAUCGUGAUCUCAAAUUCCGGAUAAAGUGUAAAUUGGUAUAUCAAAGUGAUCAACGUUAUUCAAACCCGAGACUAUAAUAUGGGAAAGUUAAAUAAAAAGUACCUGAUAACCAUUCCAUUCUGAAUUUUGAGAAGAAACUACUUGAGGUGGUGGAAUUAUCAAUGUUGAGUAAACCGGAGACUCAUUCAAAGGCCUUGGUGCAGACCAUGGUGCCACUGUUGAUUGUGAUGCACCUUGUAAAGAUGCAGGACCACCAUUACCAUAUCCAGAUGGGGGAUCAGAUCCUCCUGUAGUUG
rnacentral:lncRNA from 1 species